rnacentral:lncRNA from 1 species
GCAUUCUGAGCUAAGUAUGUGAAACUCAGUGCACUCGAACUUUAUCUGUGGAACUGCUUUGGUUACCAGAUUCAAGUUCGAGUACAGUUCCGGUGACCACCAUGAGAUAUCAACAAGGGCAGUCGUCUAUACCUCGUAUUCAGACGAAGCAAUGGUGUAAGAUGCCCAUAAACAGAUGAUUCCUUGCGCAUCAGUCAUGUGGCGCGUUGAUGGUGGCUUGCCUCUUCACACGCCGUGGCCGCAGCACUGAAGAAAUCGUCUUUCAACAGGAGGAGGGACGCGGCCUGGGGGUUGGAAUGAGGGCGCAUUUCCUCCAUUAACGGUGAAAUGGUAGCAAGCCUAUCUUCCUUCUGCCGGAAGACAGCCAUCAAUCGUGAUCAAUCCUUUGUAGUUUUUCCCAACAGAACAGGCGCUAACGCGACCAUGAGGAGCUGCUUUUCGGGCCAAGUGUGGAUAUGGCUUAGUUGCCUCCUGCCACGUUUCUCUGAAGACAGGUGUCGGAGAAUGCUGUCACCCUGUAAAGUUCUUGCACAGCUCCUCUUGACGCUGAAACUGCGCGACCCUUCGUCUUUCCCCGUUGACAAACUGCUUCAGUCUCCAGAAUCUGUCAAUCUUCUUGAGCGCUAACCUAGCGGGCGCUUUCAUGUGAAGAUGCACAAUCUGCCGGAACUUUGUAUUGCGGCGGAGUGUCAUGGGUCGGUGCAUGAAUGGAGUUAGCCUGUGCGAGGCAGUGAUUCUUUAUGCGAUGUGGAUAUUCAAGAGUCUACUUUCGGCUUCACCGCACGAUGUGUGUCCCGUUCCUGGUUCAACGCGUCCCAGGUUGAUCUGUUUUUGCUCUGGAGGCAGCAUUUCCCAGAGAUUCCUUGUUUUUACGCGUGCCCCCAAGAAGCCAUCGUUUUCUAAGGCACAUACAUAUGAUUUACCUAGAUAAUGCUAGCGGGGACGUCACAGAUGUAAAUGCCCGUAGAGGUCAACACUCGCAGCCCAGCACAGUGACUGAGGCAGUUUCCCUUUCACAGAAGGUUUGUUGUCAGAUGUCAAGCUCAUACACAGCU